AUGGGCUCAGUAUCAUUUGUUUUAUUUUGCUUUUAUUUGGAGCACAGAGAAGACACCAUCAUGAUGGAAGGGAGAAGGAAGGUUUUUAAAUAUGGAUAUGACUUUAUCUUAACUGAUGGCCUCAGGAACCAUAAAUAUGUGCUAAUCAAGCUGCAGAAAGGUAGUCUUGUGAGAGAUUUUGAUGCAGCAUCAGAUUGGGACAAAUGGAGCAACAAUCUGUUUUCUUUCCCCUCUUUCUUUUUCUACUUUGAAGACCAGUUAGGAAAACAAAUAAAGGACAGCUCAUGUUUACUAAAUGCAAGACACUAAGUUAAGAGUUAUAGACUGAUUAUCUUAUUUAAGUCUCAAUAUAAAACAAUGAGGUAGAUAUGAUUAAUCCCUCAUUUAAUAAAGAAAACUAAGGUUAGAAUUCAACCAAUUUGUAUCAACUCAUAUGGCUUGGAAAUUGUGGCUUCAUGAAUGGACAAACUAAUGGACAAAUGUGUUUCUAUGCUUUAUCAAGUUGAAGAAUUGAUUUCUAGUUUUCUGAGUCUUUAAUAUACAUUGAUAUUGGAUUUUGUCAAAUGCUUGUUUUGCUUCUACUAAUAGAAAUUCUCUUCUUUAUCUUGUUGAUGUUAUGGGUUAAUUGAUACCAUUUGGUCACAGUGUGUAAUUCUUUUGAGCACCGUUGGAUUCAAUGUGCUAUUAUCUUCUGGAGGAGUUCAAUAAAAUCUGUUCAUGAUAUAGAAAUGUUCAUAAAAUGUUCAUGUUCAUAAAAUCUGACUAUGACAUGUUCAUGACAUAUGUUGGUCUGUAGCCUUCCUUUCAUGUAAUGUCUUUAUCUAGUUUUGGUAUUAGGGUAAUGCUGGCCUCAUAGGAUGAAUAAGGAAGUGUUCCUUCUGCUUCUGUUUUCUGGGAGAGAUUGUCAAGAACUGUUUCUAUUUCUUCCUAAAAUAUUUGGUAGCAUUUACCAAGGAAAUUAUCUGGGCCUAGUUCUUUCUGUUUUGGAAAUUGUCAAUUAUUGACUCAAUUUAUUUAAUAGUCAUAGGUCAAUUCACAUUAUUUAUUUCUCCCUGGGUGAGCUCUGGUAGAUUGUCUCUCUCAAGGAAUUGAUCCAUUUCAUCUAAGUUAUCAAACUUGUGGGCAUGGAAUGGUCCAUAAUAUUUCUUGGUCACCCUUUUAAUGUCCACAGGAUCAGUAGUGAUGGUCCUUCUCAUAUUUUAU
rnacentral:lncRNA from 1 species